rnacentral:lncRNA from 1 species
CACCUAUUCAAUUUUACAUACCUGUCUUUACUUGAUAUCCUAGGCUAGCCACACCUUUAGAUUCCUUUCUACCUCAUUAGAACAUAGGAAAAAGACUUUCUGACAGACAAAGAAGAUAAUACCACUUACGGGAUAAAUUUAUUGAAAUGUAACUGAUAGAAAUUGAAAGAAACUGUGAUGAUGUCUUGAUGACACAGGGAUUUGAUUGCAGUCUAUCUUAAAAUGCUCAAGCUUCAGAUUACCACAAUGAAAGAUACACAUCUCUGAC